AUAUCCAAUAAAUUAAAGGUCUGGAGGGAAAUACUGACUUUUGGGAAACAGGAAAACCUAGGAAAUUGGAAUGUAUGUCAAAGGACUGGAUCUGGGAAUAAAAUUAUUAUCCAGAAGAAUCUUCCACCCCAUGUCCCUUGAUCUUUUCUCCCCAUGCCAAGCCCUGACGCAAUCUGCCCUUUCAGAGCAGGUAACUACUAAUGAAGCAAAGAGAAAUCUCUAGCUUUAGAGGGAGGAGAUAUGGAAAGGGUUCCAUUGUGUCACUGGAGAGCCUCCUGGAGAUGGCACCUCAGAAUCUGGUCACCAUAAGGAAAGCUGGUUAGCAGGAGGCCCUGGCAGUUCCCAGUGACGUCGUCAGUAGACCCUUCCCUGAACAAUCUCUUGUAUCCAGGAGAGCCCUGGCAUCUUCUGUGGUGUCACAAGUGUUGUGGUGCCACCAAAUGCCUGUGGGAUGUUCCUUCAGUGUCUCUAUGGUUCACUGAUUGACCUGUUGUCCAGGCUAAGCAGGCCGUUUGGGAAAGAGCAAAGAGCAUGAAUCGCAAUUGCAGCAGAGAAGACUGAGAGAUCGUGUGCUGCUGCGGCCAUGCCAUGAUCCUGUAACAACAACUGCCUUGGUGAUAGGAGCCUGUAUGCAGCAGGCCCCUUGGUGGGCCUGUCAUCUCA
rnacentral:sRNA from 1 species